rnacentral:rRNA from 1 species
UUUAUGGAGAGUUUGAUCCUGGCUCAGGAUGAACGCUGGCGGCGUGCCUAAUACAUGCAAGUCGAGCGAACGGAUGAGAAGCUUGCUUCUCUGAUGUUAGCGGCGGACGGGUGAGUAACACGUGGAUAACCUACCUAUAAGACUGGGAUAACUUCGGGAAACCGGAGCUAAUACCGGAUAAUAUUUUGAACCGCAUGGUUCAAAAGUGAAAGACGGUCUUGCUGUCACUUAUAGAUGGAUCCGCGCUGCAU